ensembl:misc_RNA Metazoa_SRP Metazoan signal recognition particle RNA
GCUGGGUGUGGUGGCGCAUGCCUGUAAUCCCAGCUACUUGGGAGGCUGAGGCAGGAGAAUCACUUGAACCCGGGAGGCAGUGGUUGCAGUGAGCUGAGAUCGUGCCACUGCACCCCAGCCUGGGCAUCAGAGCGAGAUCCUGCCUCAA